UUUUUUUUUUUUUUCCUGUUGGCCAUGGUGAAUAAAGUUUCAAAGAAGGUUUAGCUGCUGUUCUUAAUGUAGACUGUGGUGAAGUCAAAUUCAGGGCAAAUGCUGGGUGGGGGGAGAAAGGAAGAGGGAGGUUUGUUUUGCCAAAAGAGCUAAACACAGAAGUGACUUUUCCUUAGUUGUUUUGUUCACACUGAAAUGAGAGAUAAAACAUCAGACACCAGGAAGCUGCUAUCAAUACACAGAAACUAUGAACUAAGUCAUUUUUAAAAAGAGGAAUGGAUUGACCUGGGAAAGAUGGCAAAGGCUACAUAUGUGUCAUUUGUCUCAACAACAAGAAGCACUGAGAUGAAGCAUGAACAUUGACUUUCAUUUAUGAAAUAUGUAUUUUGAUGUUCAUUCAUCAAAUAUUAACAUAGCACCUACUAUGGGCUAGGGGACAGAGAGUGUGAGAGCCACCAGGGAUGAUGAUGAACUUGCUGCCUUCACAGAGCUGAUAAUCUAGUGAAGCAGAAUGACAUUGCAUAGCAUUUUCCCUACACAUCAUUGAAUUUCUACUGUGACAAAAUUACAAUGGGGAGCUAAGUAUAGGGUGUCCUGAGUGCCUGUGGACCUAAGGUAAGUGGAAGGAUCAGCGAAGGCUUCCCUGGGAGAUGUGAAACUUGACAUAAGGCAGUAAGGGGAAAGCAGGGCCAAGGAGAGAAGAGGAAUAACAUUCCAGGAUGGGGUUGGGGGGAAUUUUCAUUACAAACCCCUUGAGAUGGGAAGGAACAACUCAGCCAGGUAAGUAUAUUCCCAUUUAGACAUGGGAAAAAUGAGGCUCGGAUUAGUUAUAAACCUCUCCAGUUUCACUCAGCUAUUAAUCAUCAUCCCCACUUUAAAGCAUAAUCUACCUUAAAGCCAUUGAUUCCUGUAGCUCUGAUAGUUUGCAAGGCUGAAAGCAAGUCACAUCCUAUCUCUGGGUACCAGGUUCUCCAUUUUUGUAGUGAGGGAAUUUGAUAUAUGCUCUGUGAGUAGAACCUCCUGGGAGGUGCAGGUAUCCAUGUAAAAUGGAGCUGUGUAUAACAUAUACAUUACCUAUACAAUGAAUGCAAUAGCUACAGUGUGUAUAGCAUAUAUGUUAUCAUAUACAAUGAAUGCAAUGGAUACACUGUGUAUGACAUGUACAUCAUCUUAGGCAAUGAAUGCAGUAGAUACACUGUAUAUCAUACAUUAUCAUACACAAUGAAUGCAAUGGAAAUGCUACUGUUCACAGCGCUGAAAGAUGAAAAUUCUCUGAUGGACAAAAUGGGAGGAAUAGUAAAAUCCUUGGGGGUAAUGGGGAUGUACAACUCCUGUUUCUCCAACUUAGAAACAAAAAUGAAAUAUCCAUUAUUAAAUGAGACUCAUGUGCUGGGAGAAUCUGGCCCUGUGCAUUGUUAGAGCUCUAAUAUAUGGGUCAUUGUGGCCCUCCUUUUUCUUUUUGUUGCUGAAGGAAAGUGAUGAAUUGGUGCCAAGAAAGUGGCAAAUUGCCCUAAAAAUCACAUAAAAGUGCAAUUUAGUGCACACAGUUCUGCUGAAGAAAACCACCUUUGUUUCAUUAUUAGCUUCCCAGGGAUUUCUUUCCUUGCUUGGCAUUUAAGUGUGGAAACUUGUCCUUUUAUUCUUAACAUAAUGAGACAGUUCUUAUGUUUUAAGAACAAUAGAAGAAAGCAUGAAGAGUGAUCGAUACAUUACUUGAGAUUUAUUAACUACCGACUGGAGCCAUAUUGCCAACCUCUGGGUAUGCUUUGGAAAGACAGGGAGGCAUAAACCUCUGUUGUUUUAAGUAAAAAUAGAAAGAAAUCUAAUCUCUGAGUCCAUGAGAUGAAAAAUGUUCUAUUAGGGAUUUGCUCUGCCUUUUUCCCCUGAUUUUAGGUUCAGGAUUGGACCUGCAGACAAAGAGCAGCUACUUUGCCUGAAAGAUUUAGAACUAAUAGGAAGGUAAACUCUGAACUUAUCUGCUGACAUCAUUUCUGGCAGUGUUUCCCAGCUUCUGUUUCAAUUCUCCUUCCACUUGUCUGUACAGGCUUGACAAAAAUACAUCAAAAUAAAGCUCAUGUGCUUGCCUAUCAAAUUUCAUGCACUCUGCACUUGAUUAAAGGGAUGCAUUUGAGACCAAGCAGGGUGAGACACUGAGAGUGUUGAGUCCUGUUGUCAUAGCAGGCAUGGUUAGACUUGAGACCAAACGUCACUGAAAAAUGGGCUAUGAAUUAAAUAAGACGUUGGUGAAGAGACCCGCAAAGCCUUUUGAUUCUUUUGAUGAAAAAUUAUGUUGUUCUGUAAAAGCUUGGUCAGAAGGAUUUUGCAAUUCAAAUGAUGUUUAGUGCAGUUCGGUGCUUGGCAUAGAGAAUAGUAUUAUUUGCUGAAUUUAUUGAAUAAAUGUUUAAAAAUGUAAGUGAUGGGCAAAAGGAUUAUUGGAUGGUCUGUAUUGCUACUAGAUAUUUAAAAACCAUUUGAAAACAAAAGAUAUCUGGGAGUAUUUAAAUCUGAGAUUGAGAUCUGGCUGUUACUAAUUGUCUCUGUUAAGUAUUUUAAUUCAAUAAGUAUGUACUAUGUACCCCUGAUGAGGAAGGAAUUGUAUCAGGCAAUAGUGACACAACCCUGAAAAGACAAAUAUGACAUUCCAUCCUAGGUGGACAUGGAUAUUCAGUAACUAAGCCUCCAGUGGGUUAUGCUGUUGCAAUUGCUUUAUGCGUUACUGAACAUUUUGGAAUGCUAAGAGACCAAUUGGGGAUGAAGGCUGAGAUCUAAAUGUGAAGAAGCUGAUUUCUUAGCUUCUGUCCUUAUAGUUAAUCUGGAGACAGAAUUGCAGGCUAUAGAUUAUUUCAGCUUCUUGAGUCUUGUCCCUGGUAGAGGUUCCCUGGUCUGAAGCAGUGUCAAGUUUGGACAUAGGGAAGUCUUUGGAGAAAAGCAGGGCAAGUGGAGAAUCAUGACAGACUUUUUGCACAAAACUAGAUGUGGCCACUGGGCAACUUCAUUAUACAUCAUUUUUAGAUGGAUGGAAGACAACAUUGUCUUGUAUGUUGGGAUAGAAAGUGAAGGAAAGGCAGAAGGGUUUUUCUUGGCUCAGAAAGGAGAAAUAUGUUAACUGGAGAAAUUCAACAUAGUGGUGACUUCUCCUGAUGUCCUGAAGGUGAGCCCUGCUGGCCAGUCUGGGGGCGUUUAUAAAAAGGGGCUGCAUGUACAUUUUUAUUUUCUUGUUGGAAGUAUUGUGGAAGCAGUAAAAAACUUCUGUCAACAGAGACAAAAUGCAGUGGGAAAAAAAUGCUCUUUAGGCAAGCAAAUAAUUGCAUUUGGGUGGUCUGUGGUGAUGGAAUUGAGACAUCAUAAUCAGUUCUCUGCUUGGCCCUUUGAAUAUAGUCAGUGCAGUCACCAUCCUUUCAACAGACUUGCACCAGGUUUGGGUUAAGGUGAAGCCAAUGGAAAUAUUUUGUGGUGCGUAGGAGGAUGGAAUCAAUUGCUAUGAUUUCUUUCACAUCAUGACUUGCCCAAUGAGCCAAAUCAGUCAUUGACGUAUUAGAAUAUGCAACACAAGUUUAUAGAACCCUCUGAUGUUGCAUUUUCUCUGGCCAUUAGGUAGUUACAGUGGUCAUAGAUGGUAGCUUGGCUGUGGGCCUAAGGCCUGCCUGGCAUGCAAUAAGCCUGGAUUGGGCUCAAAGGCAACUCAAGAUUGAAAUGUGAGCUUCUGAAGGGCAGAAACACAUGGCUGUUUGGUUCAUGCUGUAUGACCAGCACCCAGAACCAUGCUUGGCAUGGGGAAUUAACUCAAUAUGUAUCUGUUCAGUUUAUUUUAAAAAAGAAAUUAAAGCCUAGGGGUGGUGGGCAAUGAGGUUAUCAGAUGUUCAGUAUUGCUAUUUGAUAAUUAAAAACAAAAAAUAGAGUUCUUGCUGUGGUGAAGUGGGUUAAGGAUUUGACUCCAGCAUCUUGGGUCACUGCAGAGGUGCAGGUUUGAUCCUCGGUCUGGUGCAGUGGGUUAAAGAAUCCAAUAUUUCCAUAGCUGUACCAUAGGUUGCAACAGUGGCUUGGAUUAGAUACCUGGUCUGGGAAUUUCCAUAUGUCAUGGGUGUAGCCUUAAAAAAAAAUCCAAGAUAUUUAAAUCUGAGAUUGAGAUUUGGGUGUUACUAAUUAUCUCCAAGACCUGAGAGACAUUAUGUACCCAGUAAUAAGUUCCCCACCUGUAAGAUAAAAUGUCUCUUUCCACCCUAACAUUCUAUACAGGCUUUAUUUUUCUACAAAUACAUUUACUCCACAAGGUUUGUUGUUUGUUUGUUUUUUCAAAUUGCCCUUAGCAUUUCAGUUUUUAAAUUCUUUGACACCAUCCUUAAAGAGCUUGCAUUUGAGAAGUUUGCAGAACAAGGUCCAUGGAUCUGGCUCUCAAAUGCAUAGACUGUUCUUUGCCCUCUGGCUUAACUACCCUGCCCAUAUUUUUAAAGAGGGGGGAAAAGAUAAAGAACAUAUUUGAGAGCGGGAACAUAAGACAAGAUAAAAGCUCUUGCCUUUGUCCUCCUACAAAAUGUAGAAGAUCAGAAUUUAUGAUCUUACCCACGGCUCUCCAGCUAAGAAUUUUUAAAUCCCUACUGUUGUCAAGUCUAAACUCCUCCUUCAGAUUAUGGAGUUCUUGAGAAAACAGCAAUUGUGCCAAAUACAUCUAUUUGCCCACCCCAACCUCCAAUUGAAAUAAAACUAUAGGUAAGUUUCUAUUGAAUUAAUUCAUAUAUAAAUAGUUGAGGUUGGAAUUGGAACUGGCACCAAAAUGCAGGAAUUAAUGAGUCAAGGAGCUGAGUAGAGGUAAUAAUGUAGCAUCCAUGAAACAGAGGAGGGCAAAAUACUGAAAAGCUUGGACUGUCUCAAUUAGUGGUGCAGUUAAAGCUUGAGAUUCAUAAAGCAGCUGCUUCCAAAGGUGGGGCAUCUAAAAGUUGGUGAGGCCCCACCUCCCCCUCCCACCAAGGUCUGAUGACAUCAGGUAUGGAAGAGACUAUAGUAAAGUGGAUGGCACAUCCCCAUUUAGAGGGAAGCUGAAUGCCACUGUGUUCCUGCUGAGUGAUGCUAAUACAUGAAUAUUGCCAGACCUUAUCAUUUUUCAAAAAAAAAAAAAAAACUGGACAUGUGGUUGUUUAUGUAAAAUUUGAUCUUUACACUUUGGCAGUGAUUUCUAAUAUUUUUAAAAUAUCGCAUGGCCAAAAAAGCCCUCCCAAGCCCUGUCUGUUUACCAACAGAUCUACUAAUUAAAGAGAGAUGAUACCAUAAUAUUCAGUCAAGGCAAUAGGGAUUUGGGUUAAGUUCUGAAACUGUUUUCAGACCAAGAUGAAGUACUGUCUCACUUGAAUAUCCUAGAUUGGUGUCAGCAUUCUGACACCCAGGGGUUUUUGACUGCAUUGUUCUUUGCUUUGCAGAAGGCUUUAGUGUCUGCUCUUGACUUACCCCUCUGCCACUGGAUCUGAGCCUAAAUAUCUGAAGCUCCCACUCAUGCUCAGGCUAGAGAAAAGAUGUUAAAUUAACAUGCAGAUUUCUGAUUGGAGGAGACAGCCUGAUAUGGAAAUUUGGAAAACUGGUUUGUGCACCUUGAAGACCACCUCAUAUGACCUGCCAUGAUUAUAACACCACAGCACACUAUGUUGGCUGUCCCUUCCCAACUCCCCAGAAAGGGAGCUCCAAGGCUGUGUCUGUCUCCUUCUCUGUCAUGUCCUGUUACCUGAUGCCAUUUUCUCAACUCUGAUGUCAAGUUUCGUUGCUCUCUAUAGACACAGCUUCGGCCAUCCUCGUCCAAUACCCAUCCUCACAGAUGGAAAUGUUGAAAACAUAAGCUCAGAUUUGUGAAUCGGAUGUGUCUUCUUACUAUAAUGAUGUGAAGGUAGAGGAGUGGCCAUCAGAGGCCAUUGUGCUAGGCUCAAUCCUCCACAUUCUCUUCCUAUGAAUCAGGCAUUUUCUUUUGUCCUUUUUUUUGUUAUGGCCUUAACUCACCAUGUUUGGACAAAAACUCACACUAACAUUAUUCAAAUCCAUUUCUUUCUUUAAUGUUGGAUUCACAAGCUGUAUUUCUAUGGCAUAAUUAUUUAGCAGUCACAUAAAACGUGUAUCUGGUCAUUCUUAACAGGCUCAUUUAUACAUGGGCCACAUAAAAUUUGCAUUCUUCCACCGCGACUCAUUUAUUAAUGGUAAUAAAUACACCCGGCAACAGGCCAAGCACACUUCAGAGGCUUGUAACUUCAGAAUGGUCAAAGUAGAUGUAAAAUGUAAUGUGGUUUUUUUUUUUUUUUGAUAAC
rnacentral:lncRNA from 1 species